GGAAGGGUGUAGCUCAGUGGUGGAGCAUCUGCUUGGCAUGAAGAAGGUCUUAGGUUCAAUCCCCAGCUCCUCCA